AGUUUCUCAAUGCUGCGGGGUCCCAGGAGACUCUGUCCUGUAUACACCCAGAACCUGGUGCCUGUGGGACAACAGAGACAAAGGUUAGAGUGAUGUGGGGAGGCAGGUAGCCUAGUGGUUAGAGUGUAGGGGCGGCAGGUAGCCUAGUGGUUAGAGUGUAGGGGCGGCAGGUAGACUAGUGGUUAGAGUCUAGGGGCGGCAGGUAGACUAGUGGUUAGAGUGUAGGGGUGGCAGGUAGCCUAGUGGUUAGAGUGUAGGGGCGGCAGGUAGCCUAGUGGUUAGAGUGUAGGGGCGGCAGGUAGCCUAGUGGUUAGAGUGUAGGGGCGGCAGGUAGCCUAGUGGUUAGAGUGUAGGGGCGGCAGGUAGCCUAGUGGUUAGAGUGUAGGGGCGGCAGGUAGCCUAGUGGUUAGAGUGUAGGGGCGGCAGGUAGACUAGUGGUUAGAGUGUAGGGGCGGCAGGUAGCCUAGUGGUUGGAGUGUAGGGGCGGCAGGUAGCCUAGUGGUUAGAGUGUAGGGGCGGCAGGUAGCCUAGUGGUUAGAGUGUAGGGGCGGCAGGUAGCCUAGUGGUUAGAGUGUAGGGGCGGCAGGUAGCCUAGUGGUUAGAGUGUAGGGGCGGCAGGUAGCCUAGUGGUUAGAGUGUAGGGGCGGCAGGUAGCCUAGUGGUUAGAGUGUAGGGGCGGCAGGUAGCCUAGUGGUUAGAGUGUAGGGGCGGCAGGUAGCCUAGUGGUUAGAGUGUAGGGGCGGCAGGUAGCCUAGUGGUUAGAGUGUAGGGGCGGCAGGUAGCCUAGUGGUUAGAGUGUAGAGGCGGCAGGUAGCCUAGUGGUUAGAGUGUAGGGGCGGCAGGUAGCCUAGUGGUUAGAGCAUUGGGCAAGUAACCGAAAGGUUGCUAGAUUGAAUCCCCAAACUGAGUUGUUCUUCUCCAGAACAAGGCAGUUUAACCCACUGUUCCUGGGCCGUCAUUGUAAGUAAGAAUUUGUUCUUAACUGACUUGCCUAGUUAAAUAAAAUAAAAAUGGUGUGUGUG